rnacentral:rRNA from 1 species
CGCCUGCCCUGUGACAUAUGUUUAACGGCCGCGGUAUUUUGACCGUGCAAAGGUAGCGCAAUCACUUGUCUUUUAAAUGAAGACCUGUAUGAAUGGCAUGACGAGGGCUUAGCUGUCUCCCUUUUCCAGUCAAUGAAAUUGAUCUCCCCGUGCAGAAGCGGGGAUAUAACCAUAAGACGAGAAGACCCUAUGGAGCUUUAGACGCAAGGCAGAUCUUGUUAAACACUUCAAAAUAAAGAAACAAACUAAGAGUAACCCUGCCCCGUUGUCUUUGGUUGGGGCGACCACGGGGAGACAAACAACCCCCAAGCGGACUGGGAAAACAGUUCUCACAACCGAGAGUUACAACUCUAAUCAACAGAAAUUCUGACCUCAAGAUCCGGCAACGCCGAUCAACGGACCGAGUUACCCUAGGGAUAACAGCGCAAUCCCCUUUUAGAGUCCAUAUCGACAAGGGGGUUUACGACCUCGAUGUUGGAUCAGGACAUCCUAAUGGUGCAGCAGCUAUUAAGGGUUCGUUUGUUCAACGAUUAAAGUCCU